AGAUUACGAAAAGAUGCUGGUUGCUC
rnacentral:sRNA from 1 species